AGAGUUUGAUCAUGGCUCAGAUUGAACGCUGGCGGCAGGCCUAACACAUGCAAGUCGAGCGGAAACGAUCCUAGCUUGCUAGGAGGCGUCGAGCGGCGGACGGGUGAGUAACGCAUAGGAAUCUGCCCGGUAGUGGGGGAUAACCUGGGGAAACCCAGGCUAAUACCGCAUACGUCCUACGGGAGAAAGCGGGGGCUCUUCGGACCUCGCGCUAUCGGAUGAGCCUAUGUCGGAUUAGCUGGUUGGUGAGGUAACGGCUCACCAAGGCGACGAUCCGUAGCUGGUCUGAGAGGAUGAUCAGCCACACUGGGACUGAGACACGGCCCAGACUCCUACGGGAGGCAGCAGUGGGGAAUAUUGGACAAUGGGCGCAAGCCUGAUCCAGCCAUGCCGCGUGUGUGAAGAAGGCUUUCGGGUUGUAAAGCACUUUCAGUGGGGAAGAAGGCCUUGGGGUUAAUAACCCCGAGGAAGGACAUCACCCACAGAAGAAGCACCGGCUAACUCCGUGCCAGCAGCCGCGGUAAUACGGAGGGUGCGAGCGUUAAUCGGAAUUACUGGGCGUAAAGCGCGCGUAGGUGGCUUGAUAAGCCGGUUGUGAAAGCCCCGGGCUCAACCUGGGAACGGCAUCCGGAACUGUCAGGCUAGAGUGCAGGAGAGGAAGGUAGAAUUCCCGGUGUAGCGGUGAAAUGCGUAGAGAUCGGGAGGAAUACCAGUGGCGAAGGCGGCCUUCUGGACUGACACUGACACUGAGGUGCGAAAG
rnacentral:rRNA from 1 species